rnacentral:misc_RNA from 1 species
UGCAAUUCUAGCAAUUAAGCAGCCUCAAAGCUUCUGUGAACUCUAUAAAUUCCACCUCUAAUUCUCUUUUGCAAGCAUCCCACUCAUCACUUUUUCACUUACUCUAUUUAGGCCAAUCUCUCUCAAAAUGUUAACCCACAACAGCAUGAUGAACCUUCUGUUUACCAUCACCCUGGCAAUAAUUCUUGCAGGAGCCCUCCCUAAAAAUGUCAUGGGCCAAGGUGUCUCGGUGCCAGACCUUGUGACACCAGCUUUCUUUAAUGGCAUAAUCAAUCAAGCUCCUGCAGGUUGUGCAGGAAAGAAUUUCUACUCAAGGGAUGCUUUUCUUAAAGCUCUCAAUUCAUAUCCUCAAUUUGGAAAAUUAGGUUCCGCUGAUGAUUCUAAACGGGAAGUUGCUGCCUUUUUUGCUCAUACCACCCAUGAGACUGGAUAUUUCUGCUACAAACAGGAGCAAAAUGUUCCUGCUAAUGAGAACUACUGCGAUAAAAACUUCCCAGCUUAUCCAUGUACCCCAGGCAAGAGAUACUUCGGGCGCGGUCCACUUCAACUAACAUGGAACUACAACUACGGAGCAGCUGGUAAAAGCAUCGGCUUUAAUGGGCUGAACAAUCCUGAAAUUGUGGCCACAGAUCCUGUCAUAUCAUUCAAGACUGCCUUAUGGUAUUGGAUGCAAAAUGUCCGCCCUUCUGUGACCCAAGGUUUUGGAGCUACGAUUAAAGCCAUUAAUGGUGCUGUUGAAUGCAAUGGAAAAGAACCUGCCAAAGUUAAAGCUAGAAUUGAUCUCUACACUAAAUAUUGCGGCCAAUUUGGUGUUUCUCCAGGGGGUAAUCUCCAAUGCUGAGAUACUUUUGCAUUGAAGAAGUCAGAAUAAUAAAUGCACGUACGCCAAUCCUGCUAGCUUAGAUGAUAUCCUUAUUUAUGAGUGGGUCGAGUUUGAAUUUUCUUAUUGGUCAAUGGUCAUGUCUUGUACUGACUGAAUUAUUAUGUAAGGUAGGAUUGUAAAAGAGGAUUUGUAUCCUCCCAUUGUACGAGAGCUUACUGCGUGCAGAUAAAUAAUAAAAAUAUAAAAUAAAUGCAUCAUUUUCU